CCCGAGUACUCGGGAUGAUAUGUGGGAAUGCGUCAUUGACGUCCCCGAAUCGCAAG
rnacentral:ncRNA from 1 species